UUCUGAACUUUGAAGUUUUAGAUAUUUUGAUUUUAAUUGAAUUUUCCUUUGAUGUUUUCUUGGGACAAGCAGUGCAUUUUAUUUGGGUAAGGGGGAUUAUUAAAAGCUCCUUCAAUUGCAUCAAGAAAAGGUGGGAAUAAUUGCUUGAGGUUCUACCUUAAACAUUCCUAUUGAGGUCAAGCCCCUUUACAGUGUCCUAAAUAGUCCCAAAAAUUCCUAAAUUGAGGUGUCAAUGAUGUCUUUGGAUAUUUCCAGAGUCAUUCUAGAAGAAGGCCAAGAGUGAUAUGAGACAACACUACCCAUGAAGUGGUUAAGACUCGAGGGAAUACGUACUUUUUGUGGGACAUGAUUUUUGGUUUCUAGCAAUUACAUGAAAAGUUGUUUUCAGAUUUUUUUUGUAAUUCAUUCUACCCAAUUAACAACAAUGGGAAUGUUCAACUUCCAUGGUUCCUAGGAUAGGGAGAAUAACUCAUCUUGUCUCACUCUUUUUUUAUGAACUUCUUUUCUAUAAA